UAUCUGUAUAUCUUGGUUAUGUGUCAUCCUAAUCGUGACCUAGAUGUACAGGUUCC
ensembl:miRNA mdo-mir-7396 mdo-mir-7396